rnacentral:piRNA from 1 species
UUCGGUCCACGAGAUGAUUCU